rnacentral:rRNA from 1 species
AACGAACGCUGGCGGCAUGCCUAACACAUGCAAGUCGAACGAGACCUUCGGGUCUAGUGGCGCACGGGUGCGUAACGCGUGGGAACCUGCCCUUAGGUUCGGAAUAACUCCCCGAAAGGGGUGCUAAUACCGGAUAAUGUCUUCGGACCAAAGAUUUAUCGCCCUUGGAUGGGCCCGCGUUGUAUUAGCUUGUUGGUAGGGUAAAAGCCUACCAAGGCGACGAUCCAUAGCUGGUCUCAGAGGAUGAUCAGCCACACUGGGGCUGAGACACGGCCGAGACUCCUACGGGAGGCAGCAGUGGGGAAUAUUGGACUAUCGGGUAAAUCCUGAUCCAGCUAUGCCGGGUGAGUGAUGAAGUCCUUAGGGUUGUAAAGCUCUUUUAUCCGCGAUGAUAAUGACAGUACCGGGAGAAUAAGCUCCGGCUAACUUCGUG